rnacentral:rRNA from 1 species
AGUGAACGCUGGCGGUAGGCCUAACACAUGCAAGUCGAACGGCAGCACAGUAAGAGCUUGCUCUUACGGGUGGCGAGUGGCGGACGGGUGAGGAAUACAUCGGAAUCUACUUUUUCGUGGGGGAUAACGUAGGGAAACUUACGCUAAUACCGCAUACGACCUACGGGUGAAAGCAGGGGAUCUUCGGACCUUGCGCGAAUGAAUGAGCCGAUGUCGGAUUAGCUAGUUGGCGGGGUAAAGGCCCACCAAGGCGACGAUCCGUAGCUGGUCUGAGAGGAUGAUCAGCGACACUGGAACUGAGACACGGUCCAGACGCCUACGGGAGGCAGCAGUGGGGAAUAUUGGACAAAGGGCGCAAGCCUGAUCCAGCCAUACCGCGUGGGUGAAGAAGGCCUUCGGGUUGUAAAGCCCUUUUGUUGGGAAAGAAAAGCAGCAGGUUAAUACCCCGCUGUUCUGACGGUACCCAAAGAAUAAGCACCGGCUAACUUCGUG